GGAGCCGGCAGCUGAUCCAAUGACGGCAGCGAUGCGAGAGGGUCCCAGGUGGAGUCGUGACUCAAGUAGCACUCCAAGAUGGGGAGGUGUUUGAGGGAGCGAGGGGAGAGGGUACGGGGGGGGUGGGGGGGGGGGGGCACACAAGCGGCGCCCUGUGUGACAAGCUGCCUGUUGUGUGUGUAUACUCCUUGACAGCGGGGAAAGCAAAGAGACAGCAGACCUCUGCCCCCCUCCCUCCCUCCCCUCGCCGGACCUCCGCCAAAGUACGACGGGACUCAUAUUUAUUCCCCCUGAGCGGCAGUGGCAGGCGUGUCCUCCUCUGCUGCCCCCGCGCUUGUUUCAGUGAAACUGGCGUUGAAAUAGCAGGAAGAUGUUCGCCGAGCAGCACGCGACGGGGAAGCCGAAGCUUCACUAUGAGGAUUCAUCAUCACAAGGCUUUGCCUUCGCAUAUACAAAGGCUUGACUUCCAGCCUUCCUUCGGCGGGGGUUAGAGAAUGCCUUUGUUACAAAUAGCAGCGUGGAGCAAAUCACUUCAGGCUUUGUUGGGAGGAGACCAUCAGAUGGAUCUAACCACGUUUCAGCACACACUCUGGGACAUCCUGACAAACGGAGGCCGUGUCAAGAUCAAAGACACACAUGGUGCACCAGGCGUGGGUGAAGAUCCUCCCUUAAAGGCAGCGGACAGAGGUAAGUUAUCAAACCAUCUCGCUUCCCACUCGCACAAUGCACCCCCCCCCCCCCCCUCUCCUCUACGGGUCACAAGCUCAGGGGUUUGGGUGCUUCUUUGAAUGCUAGUUGCGUAAAGAUCGCAUCAAAGUGGGCACAGUUGCUCAACUAGAUCUUAUGAGCUUAUGAGAAAGUAAGGCUGCCAACGGAACACAUGGAAACAUGUAAAACCUCGCACGUUUUAAUAGUUUGGAUCGUACAGAAUGGCAAAUAUAGAGAACAAACAUGCUGCUGAACAAUUGCUGGAAAAUAUUUACUACAGAGUUGGACUAAUCCAAAUUUGUGAUUUGAUCUUUACCUCCACCUUGAGUGAAAAACAAUGCAAUUUGAUUCUCAAGCUUUGGCACUAACUCAAUUUAAAUAUCUUAUGAUGGCCGAUCGCCCUACUUUUAAAACCUAGAUGUGUAGUUCUUGGGAUUAUUGUAUCUUUUGAAGAAGCACAUGCGCUGGGGGGGAUUGCGGUGUUUUUUCGUACCACCACUGGGAGGGGCCCAAGCUAGAAUGGACAAAUCUUAAAAAUAGUGGCGUUAACUAAUAAAUACACUAAAAGGUAUAUGCACAAUUAUAAAUAAUUUUGUUUCGUAGAUGUAUUUUUAUUGACAAGCUACUUUUUGUACUAUGUAAUGCACAAACUAUUGCUGCAAUCGAGGAUUGUUAUAUGUCUAUUUGGGACAUGUGUUGUCAUUGUGGGGACAGAAUUUGCGGUGGUGAAAUGUGCAGGGAACUCUACAAACAAACGCAGCCAUCAAACACUUUUCAAAUAUCCUGCUGUUGAAUAGAAGUAUUCCAGCAUACCUAUUGUCUGAGAACAACAAACAGAUUACCCAUGCAUGAGAGCUUUCCAUUUCUUUGGCCCUCCUUCCGCACCAAAUAUAUGUGAGAAUGCACUUAGUGUGGGUGUGGGGCUUAUGUGCGAGGCUGUUUGUGUGCGUCUCGUUUUUUUUUUUGUUUUCAAGGUGAUGCAGCUAGUUUAUUCCCACCUUCACGCCACAAGCAUAUUAUCCCGCUCCAGCUGCUUCGAGGAGACAGGCGCAGGUAUUUAUGGCUAGCAUAAAAAGCGUGUGCAUUUCCCUGUCACCCUACAGCUCCUGGUUUACGGCACGUUUGACAAACACGCUGAAUAAAAAAGAAAAAAAAUGAAAGAAGGAGACUGUUCAAUUUGUAUAGUAGUAGUAGAGUUUACAGCCUGUCUGUUGUGCAUGUUCCCCCAACGGAAUCUGCUGUUAGGACACGUGUGUG
ensembl:lncRNA